UACGGAGGGUGCAAGCGUUGCUCGGAAUUAUUGGGCGUAAAGGGUAGGUAGGUGGUCUCAUUUGUCUGGGGUGAAAGCCUUGAGCUUAACUCAAGAAGUGCCCCAGAGACGGUGAGACUGGAGUUCUGGAGAGGGUCGUGGAAUUCCCGGUGUAGCGGUGAAAUGCGCAGAUAUCAGGAGGAACACCGGUGGCGAAGGCGGUGGUCUGGGCCGGCACUGACGCUGAGGAGCGAAAGCGUGGGUAGCAAACAGG
rnacentral:rRNA from 1 species